AUAUAGUUAGUUUAGUGGUAAAAUAUUGACCUUCCAAGUUAAAGUCGUGGAUUCGAGUUCCAUACUAUAUA
rnacentral:tRNA from 1 species